rnacentral:misc_RNA from 1 species
GAUGAAGAACGCAGCGAAAUGCGAUACUUGGUGUGAAUUGCAGAAUCCCGUGAACCAUCGAGUCUUUGAACGCAAGUUGCGCCCGAAGCCAUUAGGCCGAGGGCACGCCUGCCUGGGCGUCACACGUCGUUGCCCCCCCAUCUACUCCUUCGGGAUUGCGGGGGGCGGAUGAUGGCCUCCCGUGCGCCUCGCCGCGCGGUUGGCAUAAAUGCCAAGUCCUCGGCGACGCACGCCACGACAAUCGGUGGUUGCGAAACCUCGGUUGCCCGUCGUGUGCGGUCGUCGCGCAUCGAGGGCUCGAAAAAAUUGCCGGGCUCCGGCUCGACUUUCAACGCGACCCCAGGUCAGGCGGGUUUACCCGCUGAAUUUAAGCAUAUCAAUAAGCGGAGGA